CAGCAGCCGCGGUAAUACGAAGGGUGCAAGCGAUACUCGGAAUUACUGGGCGUAAAGCGUGCGUAGGUGGUUCGUUAAGUCUGAUGUGAAAGCCCUGGGCUCAACCUGGGAAUGGCAUUGGAUACUGGCGACCUAGAGUGCGGUAGAGGGGUGUGGAAUUCCCGGUGUAGCAGUGAAAUGCGUAGAUAUCGGGAGGAACAUCUGUGGCGAAGGCGACACCCUGGACCAGCACUGACACUGAGGCACGAAAGCGUGGGGAGCAAACAGGGUUAGAUACCCUGGUAGUCCACGCCCUAAACGAUGCGAACUGGAUGUUGGGUGCAACUUGGCACUCAGUAUCGAAGCUAACGCGUUAAGUUCGCCGCCUGGGAAGUACGGUCGCAAGACUGAAACUCAAAGGAAUUGACGG
rnacentral:rRNA from 1 species